UUUCCUUCCCAACCUUGGCUGGUGAGACAAGGAGGGUGAUUUUUUUUUCUUCACUUAGUCCCGGGUGCAAAAACUAGGAUAGAAUAGCAUCUCUUAAUUUUGCAGUAAUCUGACUCUUCCUGUAUGCCCUAUAAUUAGUCUUCUUUACAUUUCUGGGUAAAACUACUUCCUGUGAUGACAUUCGAUGUAUAUAAACAAUGGCGCAGUCCAAGAUCAAGAGUUUCUGGGAACUCAAAACAGAAACAGCUUUACCUUAAUUUUUAUGAAUUUCAAACCCUUGAGGAUCAAAGAAAUGACAGCUCGACUGGGAGUAGAUGUCUGUGCUCAGGAGCCAAAAAGCAUCCCAGAUGAGAGAAGCACCAAGGUGCCUGACUGUACGAUGCCCCCCUCCUGGUGUCUGCUAGAAAGCUGAAGAUGAAGAGGAUUUUCACCUUUAAUUGACCUAAUACCAUCAACUAUGACCCUAUGAAUACAUCCAAAUCAAUUAAACAAUGGCUUCACCAGAAGAAAAGGAAUGUUUUGGAAUGACCCAGCCAGAGCCCAGACCUAAAUCCAAUUAAAUAUCUGUGGGGUUACCUGAAGGAGGCUGUGCACAAGAGAUGCCCUCGCAAUCUGGAGCAAUUUUUUGCAAGGAAGAGUAGGCAAAUAUUGCCAAGUCAAGAUGUGACAUGCUGAUAGCCUCCUACCCAAAAAGACUGAAUGCUAUAAUUAAAUCAAAAGGUGCUUCAACAAAGUAUUUGUUUAGACCCUUAACCCUUGCAUACUUAUUCAACUUAGUGUACGUUUUUUCUUUUAUUAUAUUGUCCCCCAAAAGAUAUGUUUUUCCAAUUGUACAGGUUAUAGGUCACA